rnacentral:rRNA from 1 species
CCUUUGACGUUAGCGGCGGACGGGUGAGUAACACGUGGGUAACCUACCUAUAAGACUGGGAUAACUUCGGGAAACCGGAGCUAAUACCGGAUAAUAUUUCGAACCGCAUGGUUCGAUAGUGAAAGAUGGUUUUGCUAUCACUUAUAGAUGGACCCGCGCCGUAUUAGCUAGUUGGUAAGGUAACGGCUUACCAAGGCGACGAUACGUAGCCGACCUGAGAGGGUGAUCGGCCACACUAGAACUGAGACACGGUCCAGACUCCUACGGGAGGCAGCAGCAA